rnacentral:snRNA from 1 species
AACAGCCUGCCCACCCUGGAAA